AUUUAUAUAGUUUAAGAAAAAAAACUUUACAUUUUCAAUGUAAAAAUAUAUCACAUUUAUUAUAAAUA
rnacentral:tRNA from 1 species